rnacentral:rRNA from 1 species
UUUAGCGAGAUUCCCUGAGCGAAGCGAACUUCAUUUCAGCGCCCCGAAACCAGACGAGCUACUUCAAGACAGCCUGCCAGGCAAACGCCUGUAGGGCACACCCGUCUCUGUCGCAAAAGAGUGGGAGGAUCUUCAAGUAGCGGUGACAAACCUAUCGAGCCUGGUUAUAGCUGGUUCUCUAAAAAGUGAAUUUAAGUUCAGCCUCCUGACUCCCCCAACCAAUGGCACCCACGCCUCUAAAGACCAACGGCGAUCAAGAAAGUUAGUCAAAGGGGGUACAGCCCCUUUGAAAAAGGACACAACCUCCAGGGGAGACUAAAGAUCAUACCCACAUAAGGAAACUUGUUUAGUGGGCCCAAAAGCAGCCACCUAGAAAGAAAGCGUUAUAGCUCCUGUAUUCCCCCACCCAUUAAUAUCGAACCCCACUCUUCACUCCCCCACCACUAUUAGAGCCUCCCAUAACCCCUGGGACAGACCCUGCUAAAAUGAGUAAUAAGAGGGAAACGCCCCUCUCCACCACACAAGUGUAAAUCGGAACGGACCCACCCCCGAUAACUAACGAGCCCCUCUGAGGGAAAUGUAAAACCACACAAAUGGCAAGAAAAAUUAACACAUUAAUUUCGUUAACCCUACACAGGUGUGUACCCCCGGAAAGACUUAACCAAAGGGAAGGAACUCGGCAAACACAAGCCUCGCCUGUUUACCAAAAACAUCGCCUCUUGCUAUAGACAUAACGAAUAAGAGGUCCCGCCUGCCCAGUGACUAUACGUUAAACGGCCGCGGUAUAUUGACCGUGCAAAGGUAGCGCAAUAAAUUGUCUCUUAAUUAGAGACUAGUAUGAAAGGCAUCACGAGGGCUUAGCUGUCUCCCCUCUAAAGUCAAUAAAAUUGAUCUCCCCGUGCAGAAGCGGGGAUACGCGCGUAAGACGAGAAGACCCUAUGGAGCUUUAGAUAUAAAGCAACCCACGUCAAGCCCCCCUUUAAAGGAAACGAACAAAAUGAGCCUUGCUGAUAUGUCUUCGGUUGGGGCGACCACGGGGAAAGACAAAACCCCCACAUGGAUCGGGGCCACUCAGCCCUAAAACAUAGACCCACAGGUCAAAUCAAGAGCAUUUCUGACCACUAAAGACCCGGCACAAGCCGAUCAAUGGACCUAGUUACCCUAGGGAUAACAGCGCAAUCCCCUCCAAGAGCCCUUAUCGACGAGGGGGUUUACGACCUCGAUGUUGGAUCAGGACAUCCUAAUGGUGCAGCCGCUAUUAAGG